rnacentral:misc_RNA from 1 species
AUUUCUCUACUAACAGCUUCCUAUUAGUGAAGGCUGAGGCUUAUAAGUCGAUAAAGAUUUAAUCCUUCUUGUGUCCUAUUUUUUUGAACGAAGAAGAAAUAGAACAGGAAAAAAUAGCUCAACACUCUGCAAAAUUUUCUAUUGGGUAUAGGAUACCGAGUAUCUGGGUUUGCUAAUCACAGGUGACUUGUGAACUUACACAACCUGGUUUUUUUCAUUUGUA